UACGGAGGGUCCAAGCGUUGUCCGGAAUCACUGGGUGUAAAGGGUGCGUAGGCGGACUCGUAAGUCAGGGGUGAAAGCCCGCGGCUCGACCGCGGAACUGCCUCUGAUACUGCGAGCCUUGAGUCCUGGAGGGGCUGGCGGAAUUCGUGGUGUAGCGGUGAAAUGCGUAGAUAUCACGAGGAACACCGGAGGUGUAGACGGCCAGCUGGACAGGUACUGACGCUGAGGCACGAAAGCGUGGGGAGCGAACAGG
rnacentral:rRNA from 1 species